rnacentral:lncRNA from 1 species
CCAGGAUCAGUGAAAAAGCCAAAUGAUGGGAAACUGCAUAGACAAGUGACCUGGCUUCUUCAAUAGAUAAAUAAACUGGUGAGAGAUUGAGACAGAGAUAGGAAAAAAAGAGAGAGAGAGAGAGAGAAAGAGAGGGAGAAAAUGCAGAAAUUAAACACCAGCCGAUUAUAUCAUGGGAGACUUGUUUGCAUCUUGACUCAAACUGUAAAAAAAGAAAUCAUCCAGGACAUUUGUGGGAUAAUUGGGAAGCAGAACUCUAACUGGCUGCCUAAUGCUAUCAAGGAAUUCUUGUUCAUGUUUUUUUUUUUUUUUUUUUUUAUUUAAAGUAAGAUAAUGGUAUUUUACAGGUUAAAAUGAAAUAUUUUACUUUUUCGAGGUAAAUCCUAACCGCCUAUGGUGGGCAUGAUAGACUGUCCAGGAUUUGUGGGAAAGAAAGAGGGAAGGAGGGGGGUGGGGGGAGCCCCAAGGAAGCCAUGACUUGAAUACGGAGCCUGGGCAGAGGGACCGGGGGUUGGUGGCACUGCCUCUCUACUUUUGCAUGUGUUGCUAUUUCCUGUAAUAGAGAAGUUUGAGGAAGCUGCUCUUGGUUCUCUGGGAUGACUCAGACCAGCACCUUGGACUAGAUAGGGAUCUCUGCCCACCUCUCCCGGGGGACACCUCCGGCUCCCCUUCCCCUGCUGCUUCCUGCUCUUCUCCACUUAUUCCUAAUUAUCUGGAGAAUGCCCGGGGCUAGACCUACUGGAAACUGGCCUUCUUGGCAAGGUGCCCCAGGUCUUUCCAUUUCAAAAAGAUUUAUCUCUAGAGCACCGAGGGGACCGGAGCUUUCCGUGGCGGGAGGUCCCUUGCCACGGGGCCACCACCUCUCAUGGUGGGCAGCGAGGCACCACCUUUGCAGUUCAGGUCCUUGCAUAAGGGGCAGAAGCACGCGGGUGGCCUUCAGACUUGGUUCUCGCUCUUUCGGAACCUGGAGAGUGGUGAUGACCAGCCAGAGGCUGCAGAGGAAACCACAGGGGUCCAAGCCAAGGAGACUUCAGAUGGAGAUGAGCCAGGGGGGAUCGUCCUGAAAGCCACUUAGGAACGACAAAAAGGAGGCCCAGUGACCACUUUAGGAAUAAGAACGCAGCUUUUGGAUAUGAGCGCAAAUACCCGCAAAAGAUCCGAUGUAUGGAUUUAACACAAAAUGUGCCAAAAUCAGCUGCUUUAAAAAGAAAAAAAAUGGACUAAACCGUUCCUCGGAUUGACGUGCUUAUGUGAAGAGUUGAGAAAGCCAAAACAAUCUUGACAAAGAGGAGGUUGAAGACUCACCCUUCCGAUUUCCCCGCGUACCGCGUACUACCAGUUACAGUAACGGACACUUACCAAUAGUAUUUUCCAGCCUAUGAAUGUGGACUUUCUCUCAAUGUAUUUAGAUCUUUAAGAAAUGCCUUUGAAAAAAUAUCUUCUAUGUUUUUAAGUCAAUAGACCUAUUUUUCUUUAAGAGCAGUGUUAGGUUCCCAGAGCGAUUGUUGUAGAACGUACAGAGUCGCCAUGUGACACCCCACCCCCACCACACAGUUUCCCCUGUUUUUAACACCUUGCAUUUGUGUGAUACACGCGUUACAGGUGAUGAACCAAAAUCAAGAUGUUGUUAUUAACUAAAGUCUACAGUUUACAUUAGGAUUCACAAUUUGUGUUGUUCAUUCUGUGGGUUUGGACAAACACACAAACAUGUAGCAUCGUGUGUCCACCGGUACAAUACCGUACAGAGUGAUCUCACAACCCUAAAAUCUGCCUGUGCGUCCCCUGUUCAUUCACCCCUCAGCCCCUGGCAGCCACCGAUCCUUUCACUGUCUCUAUAGUUUUGCCUUUUCUAGAAUGGCAAGUAAGUAGUUGGAAUCCUAGAGUCUGCAGGGUUUUCAGAUUGGCUUUUUUUUCGCUUAGCAUCAUGCUGUUAAGCGUCCUUUGCGCCUUUUCAUGGCUUGAUAGCUCAUUCUUUCUUAUCACUGAAUAAAAUCCAUUGUCUGGAUGGACCACUGUUGACCCAUUUACCUCCGGAAGGGCAUGUUGGUUGCUUCUAAUCUUCGGCAAUUACGAUUAAAGCUGCAUAAACAUUCCUGCACAGGUUUUGGUGCGGACGUAAAUUUUCACUUGGGUAAAUACCAACAAGCACAAUUGCUGGGCUGUACGGUAGGCCUGUGUUUAGCUUUGUAAUAACUUGCCAAACCUUCUAUCAAAGCAGCUGCACCAUUUUGUGCUGUCAUCAGCCAUGAAUGAGAGCUCCCGUUGCUUCAUACCUUCGCCAACACUUGGUGGUGUCAGCAUUUUGAGUUUUAUUUAAUAGGUAUGCACUGGUACCUCGUUGUUGGCUUGACUUGCAAUUCCACAAUGACGUAUGGUGUUGAGCGUAUUUUUAUAUACUUAUUUGCCACCUGUAUAUCAUCUCUGGUGAGGUGUAUGGCCAGAUGGCUUGCUUGCUUGCUUGUUUAUUUAUUUGUCUAUCUAUCUAUCUAUCUAUCUAUCUAUCUAUCUAUCUAUCUAUCUAUCUAUCAUCUAUCUAUCUAUCUAUCUAUCUAUCUAUCUAUCUAUCUAUCAUCUAUCUAUCUAUGAGAGACACAGAGAGAGAGAGGCAGAGACACAGGCAGAAGGAGAAGCAGGCUCCCACUGGGACUCAAUCCCAGGACUCCAGGAUCACGCCCUGAGCCAAAGGCAGACGGUCAACCACUGAGCCACCCAGGUGCCCUCUCUUGCUCCUUUUUAAAUUAGGUUGCUUGUUUUCUUAAUUGUUGACUUUUGAGAAUUCUUUGUAUGGUAUAGAUGUGAAUCCUUUCUCACAUAUAUGUCCUGCCAGUAUUUUCUCCAACUCCGUGGCUUGACUUUUCAUUCUCUUAAUAGUCUUUUUAGUGAAGACUAACUUAUCCAUUUUUUCUAACAAAGGUUGUGCUUUCUGUGUCGUCUCUAAAAGUCAUCACAGACCCAAGGUCAACUAGAUUUUAUCUCUAGAAGUAUGAGAGCUUUGUGUUUUACAUUUAGAACUAUGAUCCCUUUUGAAUUAAUUUUUGUACAAUGUAUAAGGUCUAGAUCGGUAUUUUGUUGUAUGUGGUGUCCAACAGUUCUAGCACCAAUUGUUGAAAAGACAGUCUUUUCUCCAUUGAAUUUCCUUUGCUCCUGUGUGAAAGGUCAAUUGAUCAUAUUUGUAUGGAUCUGUUUCUGGGCUCUGUAUUCUGUUCCAUUGAUCUAUUUGUCUGUUCUUUCUCCAAUACCACAUGGGUUUUGUAAUUUUAAUUUUAUUUUUAAAGUUUUUAUUUUAACUCCAGUUAGUUAACAUACAGUGUUAUAUUUCUGUGUACAAGAUGAUAAUAAUUCAACACUUCCAUACAUCACUCAGUGCUCAUCAUGGGAGUGCACUCCUUAAUCCCCAUCACCUGUUUCACCCAUCUCCCCAUCUGGUAACCAUCAGUUUGUUCUCCAGAGUUAAGAGUCUGUUUCUACUUUGUCUCUCUCUCAUUUUUUUCAUUUUCUUGUUUGUCUCUCAAAUUCUACAGAUGAGUGAAAUCAUAUGGUAUUUGCCUUUCUCUGACUUAUUUUACUUAGCAUAAUACUCUAGCUCCAUCCAUGUCCUUGCAAAUGGCAAGAUUUCAUUCUUUUUGAUGGCUGAAUAGUAUUUCACUUGCAUAUAUGCCACAUUUUCUCUAUUCAUUCAUCAAAUUGAUGUACACUUGGGCUGUUUCCAUAUCUUAGCUAUUGUAAAUAAAAUGCUGCUGUAAACAUAGGUGUGUAUGUAUCCCUUUGAAUUAGUGCUUUUAUAGUCUUCGGGUAAAUACUCAGUAGUAUAAUUGCUGGGUUGCAGGAUAGCUCUAUUUUUAACGUUUCGAGGAACCUCCACACUAUUUUCCACAGUGACUGUUCUAGUUUCCAUUCCCACCAACAGAACACGAGGGUUCCUUUUUCUCUACAUCCUUGCCGACACCUGUUGUUUCUUGUGUUUUUGAUUUUAGCCAUUCUGACAGGUGUGAGGUGAUAUCUCAUUGUAGUUUCUUACCCUUUCUUUUUUUUAAAUUUAAAUUCAAUUUGCCGACAUAUAGUACAUUAUUAGUUUCAGAUGUAGUUUUCAAUAAUUCAUCAGUUGUGUAUAACACCCGAUGCUCAUCUCAUUUGUGAUUUUGUUUUACAUUUCCCUGGUAAUAAGUGAUGAUGAGCAUCUUUUCAUGUGUCUAUUGGUCAUCUGUAUGUUUUCUUUGGAAUGUCUGCACAUUUUUUAAAUUAGGUUAUUUGUUUUUUGGGUGUUGAGUUUUGUAAUUUCUUUAUAUAUUUUGCUUACUAGCCGUUUAUCAGGUACGUAAUUGCAAAUACCUUCUUCCAUUCUAUAGGUUGCUUUUAGUUUUGUUGGUUGUUUCCUUUGCUGUGCAGAAGCUUUUUACUUUGAUGUAGCCCCAAUAGCUUAUUUUUGUUUUUCUUUCCCUUGCCUAGGGAGGCAUAUCUAGAAAAAAGAUAUGUCUUUGUUAGGGCUAAUAUCAAAGACAUUACUGCCUGUGUUCUCUUCUAGGAUUUUUAUGGUUUCAGGUCUCACAUUUAGGUCUUUAAUCCAUUUCGAAUUUAUUUUUAUGUAUGGCGUAAGUAAGUAAUAGUUUUAUUCUUUUGCAUGUUGCUGUUCCAGUUUUCCCACCAACAUUUGUGGAAGAGACUGUGUUUAUCCCAUUGGAUAUUCUUUCAUUCUUUGUUGGUGAUUAAUUGACCAUAUAAUUAAAUACCACACUAUUUUGAUUACUGUAGCUUUAUACUAUGUCUUGAACUGGGUCAUAUCAGUCCUCUGAUUAUUCUUUUUUAUAAUUGUGUUGGCUACUCUAGUCUUCUGUUUUAUCAUAUAAACUCUAGAAUUACUUUGUUGAUAUCCACAGAAUAACUUGCUGGAGUUUUGAUAGGAAUUGUACUGAAUCUAUAGGUCAAAUUAGGAAGAACUGACAUUUUAACAAUAUCGAUUCUUCCUAUCUGGAACACAGACUGUUUUUCUGUGUAUUAAAAUCGUCUUUGAUUUCUCUCAUUACACUAUUAUGGUUUUCAUCUUAUAGAGCCUGUGCAUUUUUAUUAGAUUUAUAUCUAAGUAUUUAAUUCUGUUUUGCUGCUUAUGUAAAUGGUACUACACUUUUAAUUUCUUUUUUCUAAAAAUUGAUUUAUUUAAGAGGGAAAGAAUGAAAGGGAGAAUGGGGGGAGGGGCAGAGGGAGGGAGAGAAUCUUGAAGCACUCUCCACUGAGUGUAGAGCCUGACAUGGGGCUCAAUCUCCAGGACCAUGAUCUGAACCAAAAUCAAGAGUUGGCUGCUUAGCCGAUUGAACCAUUCAGGUGCCCCUUUAAUUUCAAAUUCUAAUUACUCAUUGCUGGUAUAUAGGAAAGUGAUUUACUUUCAUAUAUUAACCUUAUAUCCUACAACCAUACUAGAAUCAGAAUUAUCUUAAUUCUAGGAGGGUUUUUUUGGGUCAGUUCCUUGGGAUUUUCUACACAAUCAUGUCAUCUUUGAACAAACACGGUUCAAUUUCUUCCUUCCCAAUCUAUACAUCUUUUAUUUAUUUUUCUUAUCUUACUUCAUCAGUUAAAAUUUCUAGUAC